rnacentral:rRNA from 1 species
ACGGGAGGCAGCAGUAAGGGAUAUUGGGCAAUGGGGGGAACCCUGACCCAGCCAUGCCGCGUGAGGGAAUGAGGCCCUACGGGUCGUGAACCUCUUUUGCCUGGGGAUAACCCCUCCCGCGCGACGGGGGGCUGCAGGUACCAGGCGAAUAAGCAUCGGCUAACUCCGUGCCAGCAGCCGCGGUAAUACGGAGGAUGCGAGCGUUAUCCGGAUUCAUUGGGUUUAAAGGGUGCGCAGGCGGGGCGCUAAGUCAGCGGUGAAAGGCGACGGCUCAACCGGAGCAGUGCCGUUGAUACUGGUGUCCUUGAAUGCGGUCGAGGCCGGCGGAAUGUGGCGUGUAGCGGUGAAAUGCAUAGAUAUGCCACAGAACCCCGAUAGCGAAGGCAGCUGGCCGGGCCUGCAUUGACGCUGAGGCACGAAAGCGUGGGGAUCGAACAGGAUUAGAUACCCUGGUA